rnacentral:rRNA from 1 species
AGCAGUAGCCGCGGUAAUACGGAGGGUGCAAGCGUUAAUCGGAAUUACUGGUCGUAAAGCGUGCGCAGGCGGCUAUGCAAGACAGAUGUGAAAUCCCCGGGCUCAACCUGGGAACUGCAUUUGUGACUGCAUGGCUAGAGUACGGUAGAGGGGGAUGGAAUUCCGCGUGUAGCAGUGAAAUGCGUAGAUAUGCGGAGGAACACCGAUGGCGAAGGCAAUCCCCUGGACCUGUACUGACGCUCAUGCACGAAAGCGUGGGGAGCAAACAGGAUUAGAGACCCCCGUAGUCCCUGUCUCUUAUAC